rnacentral:lncRNA from 1 species
AGAUCACGACGAUGACUUGCGAGCAACUCACUGUACUUUGGUAUCAGACUAUCUGAAUUUAUAAUUCAAUGAUAGAAGAUUUUUGGAUGCAGUCAAGUACUUGUCAAGCUGGUGCAUGAGUCAAGAUGGGAUUGACCCUUCUGAAUUAGUAGGAGUUAAUGUGUCUAUGUAUUUUAAUUUAGUAAAAUCUAGAUCCGGAUAAUCCAAGUGAUGGAUUUGAAAGAUUAAAAUAUAAUGUAGAUGACUUAUCUGGAUUUGAUAGUUAAAUUCUAGGUCAUCCUUGAGCAUUAAGG